AUUGAACGCUGGCGGCAGGCUUAACACAUGCAAGUCGAGCGAGUGGCGGACGGGUGAGUAAUGUCUGGGAAACUGCCUGAUGGAGGGGGAUAACUACUGGAAACGGUAGCUAAUACCGCAUACCAUCAGAUGUGCCCAGAUGGGAUUAGCUAGUAGGUGGGGUAAUGGCUCACCUAGGCGACGAUCCCUAGCUGGUCUGAGAGGAUGACCAGCAACAUUGGAACUGGGAAACGGUCCAGACCCCGACGGGAGGCAGCAGUGGGGAAUAUUGCAAAAGGGGGGCAAGCCUGAUGCAGCCAUGCCGCGUGUGUGAAGAAGGCCUUCGGGUUGUAAAGCACUUUCAGCGAGGAGGCGUUACCCGCAGAAGAAGCACCGGCUAACUCCGUGCCAGCAGCCGCGGUAAUUC
rnacentral:rRNA from 1 species